CCCUAGCCAGGCGUGCUGGGACUUAUGGUCUCUUAACGGUUUCCAGCCCACUGGCCGCGAAUCUGCGGGCUACAAUCUCAGCAUGCGCUGUCUGUCCUCCCCGGUGGUGCACAGCCUUGGAGGGAGGGACAGGGCAGUGUGGACUUCGACCCUUCCUAAGUGAUGCCAGCCGCUGAUUCUGUGUCACGCUCUCGACCAAGGGAGUCUGGAGGAGGACUUGAGGGGCAGGUCUGGGCUGGGCGGUGAGGACGGUGUGACGCUGCGAAGUGCACUUCCUUUACUCAAAUCGGAGGGGUCUGGUCCUCACCGCACAGCCCUCUGUACAUCUCGGUGUCCUCUCCCAUCCAUAUCCGGGGGUCUUUCCAGAGCAUCGCGCCUCUUCCAGUCCAGGGAGCUGCCUGCUGUGCUAAACUCUAUGGGAACCGAGACAUCCACCUGCUGGGUGGCCCGCCCGUGCACAACUUCAGAGCUUUCAGCAGGUGAUUCGGACUGUGGCUCCUUCGUGAAAAUGUCACGCUCUACGGCACCUUUCUUGUGAUAUAGAAGUUGACGCGUUUCUACUCAUGAAGUGCAAAUAUUGAUGAAGAUAAUACUACUGCCUUGAUGCCAGACAGUAACAAUCGCCUUUUUUUUUUUGUAUCUGCAAUUAUAAAUGAAAUGCAUACUAUAAAAAGAAAAGAACACAUCAUAAAUAUCUUUAUAAAGUAAAA